AACGCACCUUGCACUCUUUGGUAUUCCGAAGAGUAUGUCUGUUUGAGUGUCAUGAAACUCUCAACCCCCCUAUUUUGUAAUGAGAUAGGCGUUUGGGCUUGGAUUGUGGCUGUGUGCUGGCUUUCGAGUCGGCUCGGCUGAAAUAUACGAGUAACCCACUUCGAUUAUGAGCGGUUUGACUCGGCGUAAUAGCUUUAUUUCGCUGAGGACGCUUUGUUAUCGAAAUUGUGGUGCUUCUAAUGAAACUUUUAAUUAAGCUUUAAGACCUCAAAUCAGUCAGGAUUACCCGCUGAACUUAA
rnacentral:misc_RNA from 4 species